rnacentral:lncRNA from 1 species
AUAAAUGGUGUUUUAACCUCAAGCACAAAGAUCCCAAACCAAAACCUCCAUGGAUUCAUAAAAAGCUUGGACAAAGGGACACUCUGGACCUCCAAGGGUCCAGAUCCAGAACCUAACUCGCUUAAGGGACCAAGGGAGCACUAGAUCUAGCCACAAAAGGGCUCAAUAAGCCCUAAAUCAACAUGAACAUCACCACAACAGAAAAGGGUUCGAAAAUAGUACCUCAAACGUGAUGUUCUGGACCUCAGAUCUUCAGGACGUUAACCCUCUUGCUUCCUCUUGGCUAUAGCUUCCUUUCCCUUGCUAUACAACACCACCAAGGUCAACAACGGCUCCUUCUCUCACUCCAAACGCUCAAGCUCACUAGGGUUUCUCUUUCGGGACUGGUGUGCACAAAUGAUGGCCAUAAGGCCCUUUAAAUAGGCCCCAAACCCGAGAAAUUAGGGUUUCAUUAAACAGCGCGGACUCGCCGAGUCCACCAAUGCGACUCGUCGAGUCCGGUCAUUAAUCCGGGUGAGAAAUCGCGUCUCUACUCGGCGAGUCUACGCACCAACUCGCCGAGUUCUUCCACAAAACUCAAAAUAAAAUGAAUAAAUAUAAUACCUGAAAUUCCGGAUGUUACAAGGGGUGUGAAAAUUAUCACCUUUUUUCUUUUCUCCCUGCUUGCACCCUUUUUUACCCCCUGUCUUUGGUUUAUCUGCUUCAGCAAUAAUCAACAUCACCUACAAAAUCGUGAUUGACAAUUAUCAUGUCAGAGUCAUGCGUCAUACAUCGAAAAGGAACCGACCAUUCAAAUUUCACGCGCCCUUUUGAAUUCUUAUCCUCAGGAACUUGCCGCAUCAUCUUUUGGCCUUUUGCAGUUGAGUGUAAUUCCAUUUGUCUCAUACGAAAGUGAACUUAGUUUUGUGUAUAGAUCUAUACGGGGAUGACACCCCACACCUGAGCUGUUCGCUACAGUUAGACUACAUCGGCCUAGGGUGACUAUAACCUUAUUCUAUUUUUCAGUCGGCGUUCACAAACACCAGGACAGGCGAAAUUGUCAUUAUUUAGUAUGUUUAUGACAGCUCACUUAGAGGAAUUAACGUUACGAAGGUUGCGGAAGACUAUUUUAUUUUAUGUUGGAUUACUCGGAAACUUACUCACACUGGUACUCAACGUCGGUGUUGGUACGACAACAUUGUCUAUUCUUCUUUUUCGGGCAACAUCGGGUUGUCUGGGGGCAUUCUAUUUACAUUUUCUUCUAUCACAUUUGGCAUUCUUUUAAACAAUAACACACAUGCAUUAAUACAAGAUCGGACAUAAACAUACCAAACUAUUUUGAAAAAAUACAGGAUUUUCUUGUGAUUACAAAGUUAUACAAAUCAUUUAAUCAAAUAUACUUAUGAACUCACCGAUAUUAUAUAUGUUGACGUUUUCAAAAUAACUUGUAUUCUCAGGGACUCGUUAAGCNGGCAUACCAAUGCUCGAAUGAUGGCUGUUGUUGUAGGAGAACUCUGCCAAGGGCAAAUACGUGUCCCAACUCCCCCCGAAGUCCAACACACAUGCCCCGAGCAUGUCCUCGAGCGUCUGAAUCGUCCUCUCACUCUGUCCGUCAGUCUGGCGGUGAUAUGCGGUACGAAAAUGCAGCGUAGUACCCAACUCCUCGUGAAACGUCUUCCAGAAUCUGGAAGUGAAACGCACAUCUCGGUCUGAGACAAUCGAGAUCGGCACUCCAUGCCGUGAUACCACUUCCCUCACGUACAUCUAUGCUAAUUUCUCUGCGGAAGAACUCUCACUAAUAGCAAGGAAGUGGGCGCUCUUUGUCAACCUGUCCACAAUCACCCAAAUUGCAUCGACUCCCCUAGCAGUCCUUAGCAAUUUGGUGAUAAAAUCCAUGGUAAUCUGUUCCCACUUCCAUUCGGGAACCUCCAACGGCUGCAACUUACCAUGCGGUCUCUGGUGCUCGGCCUUAACCCUACAGCAGGUUAAGCACCUCUCAACAAACCACGCAACAUCCCUCUUCAUACAGGGCCACCAAUACUCUCUCCUCAGGUCUAAAUACAUCUUAGUGGCCCUAGGAUGGAUCGAGAAUUUCGAUCGAUGAUCCUCUUCCAUCAAAAUGGUACGCUUCCCUCCCACAAACUAUACCCAUAUACGCCCAUGAAAUGUCAUAAGCCCCUGACCAUCGGUAACAAACUCCGAUAACAACCCAACAACUCACUCUCUCUUCUGGUUCUUCAACCUCAUGGCCUCAGCCUAUGCUCCACGAAUGGUGUCCAACACCGGAGCCAUCACGGUCAAUCGCAAUCAUAUAUCUCGCAAUGGGGCGCUCUCCGCCCUGCGACUCAGUGCAUCGGCUACGACAUUAGCCUUUCCCGGAUGGUACAGGAUCUCACAAUCAUAAUCCUUGACCACAUCCAACCACCUCCUCUACCGCAUAUUUAGGUUAGGCUGGUCCAUCAAAUACUUCAGGCUCUUAUGGUCCGUGUAUAUCGUACACCGAACCCCAUAUAGAUAGUGACGCCAAAUUUUGAGGGCAAACACUACUGCCCCCAACUCUAAAUCAUGGGUGGGAUACCUCGUCUCAUGAGGUUUCAACUGCCUCGAUUCAUAUGCUAUCACAUGCCUUCUCUGCAUCAACACCGCUCCCAACCCCACGAUCGACGCAUCACAAUAUACCAUAAAGUCCUCCAUUCCCUCUGGGAGGGCUAGCACCGGGGCUUCGCAUAACCUUUGGCGAAGCGUCUCAAAGGAGGCCUGCUGCUCAGGGCCCCAUGAAAAAGCGACACCCUUCCUGGUCAACCUUGUGAGUGGCACUGCGAUCUUAGAGAAAUCCCUGAUAAAUCUCCGAUAAUAACCUGCCAACCCUAAGAAACUCCUGAUCUCGGAGGUUGACCUUAGCACCUCCCAACUCAUCACUGCCUCAACUUUGGCCGGGUCGACCAAUAUCCCUUUCUGGUUAACGAGAUGCCCUAGGAAUUGGACCUCUCACAACCAGAAAUCACACUUGGAGAAUUUGGCAUAAAGCCUCUCCGAUCUCAGAACUCCGAGGAUCUCCCUCAAAUGCUCCUCAUGUUGAUCUCGGAUAUACCAAAAUGUUGUCGAUGAAUACAAUCACCGACCGAUCCAACAUCAGCCUGCACACUCGGUUCAUGAGAUCCAUAAACACUGCCGGGGCAUUGGUGAGCCAGAAAGGCAUCACCACAAACUCGUAAUGCCCAUAACGCGUCCUGAACGCUGUCUUCUGGAUGUCCUCAUCUCGCACCCUCACCUGAUGAUAUCCAGACCUCAAAUCGAUCUUGGAGAACCAAGAUGCUCCCUGUAACUGAUCGAACAAAUCGUCGAUCCUCGGCAACGGGUAACGGUUCUUGACCGUCAGCUUGUUCAACUCCCGGUAAUCAAUGCACAUCCGGUGUGAACCAUCCUUCUUCUUGACAAAAAGGAUAGGCGCUCCCCACGGCGAGCUGCUCGGCCGAAUAAAUCCCUUUCCCAGCAGCUCCUGAAGCUGCGAGGAUAACUCUUGCAUCUCUGGAGGUGCAAGGCGAUAAGGCACCUUGGCGAUAGGCGCGGCCCCCGGAACCAAAUCGAUAUUGAACUCCACUUGCCUCACGGGAGGCACACCUGGCAACUCCUCUGGAAAUACAUCUGGGAACUCACACACUAUUGGAACCUCCUCAACUGACCUCAGCCUCUCUAAAUCAACCCGUGUAUCCAUCACAUAUGCCACAAAGCCCUUACAUCCCUGCUGCAGACACUGCCUCACUCUAGCGGCCGAACAAAACGUUGACCCAGAACGUGUACCCUCGCCAUACACCGGAAGAUCUCCCCCACUAGGGUCUCGUAUGGUCACCAGCUGCCGCUCGCAGUCGAUAACCGCACCGAAUCUGCUCAACCAGUCCAUGCCCACAAUGACACAGACAUCACCCAUCGCAAUAGGAACCAAAUCAAUCGGGAACUCAACACCGAAAAUCUCGAAUACGCACCCACGGAUCACCUCCGUGGCAUAUAUCACCCUCUCAUCAGCUAUGGAAACAGUCAGAGGCCGACUCAACACCUCACGACUAACACUGAUAUGCUGACUAAAAGCCAAAGAUACAAAAGACCGACUCGCACCCGAGUCAAAUAACACCAAGGCAGGUAUAUAAUUCACAAGAAAAGUACCUACGCAUAACAUAAUAUAAGCAUAAUAUCUCAACAUCAAAAUAAAUACACGAAAGAAUACAUACCAGCCACGGCAUCGGGCGCUGCACGGACCUCCUCCACGGUCAACUGAAAGGCUCUCCCUCGUGCCCUCGGCACCUCGGCCUUCACUGGCCGACUCUCGGUAGCUCUGAUGGCGGCAGGGGCAGAUCCCUGAGGUGCUCCCUGAGCUGAUCCCCGCAACUGCGGACACUCUGCCUUCCGGUGUCCGGUCUGGUUGCAGUGAAAACACACUGCAAACCCCUUGGGGCAGUCCUUGGCCAUAUGCCCCUCCUUGCCACACUUGUAGCAAGAUCCCGCUCUACAGACUCCAUCAUGACCCUUGCCACACUUCCCACAAGUGCGGCCCUUCUGGCUCCCUGGUUUGGGAUCAGCGGGCUUGGCCCGCUUGGCUGCCGGCUGAGACUGUGCCGGUCGCCGAUCCCUCCCCUGAGACUCCGCCUCCUCCCUGGCCUGAGUCUCUAGCUCAAUCUCCCUCUUCCGGGCAUUUGCCUGAAGCUCGGCAAAUGUCCGGUACGAGGAGUUCGCCACGAACUCCCGAAUGUCUCGCCUCAAGAUACUCAAAUAUCGGCUCAUACGUGCCUGCUCAGUGGACACGUGCUCAGGGCAGAACAUCGCCCUCUCAUGGAACAUCCUGGUAAUCACUGUAACAGACUCAGUACCCUGCUUGAGGGUCAGAAACUCCUGUGCUAAACGCUCCCUCUCCACCUGGGGAACGUACUCAUCUCGGAACAUGGCAGUGAACCUCUCCCAGGUCACUGCCGCAAGCUCAGCAGGCGUAAAGUGCGCCGUCACAAACUUCCACCAGUCCUUCGCUCCCAAGCGAAGCUGGUUCAGCGCGAACCGAACCUUCAAAUGCUCAGGAGAUGAGCAAGUGAAGAAACACCCCUCUAUGUCAGAAAUCCACCUCAUAGCUGCCACCGGGUCCUGGGUCCCAUCAAACUCUGGUGGUUUUGUGUUGCUGAACUCCCGGAACAGCAACGCAUCACCACCUUGCGGCCUCGCGGCAGCAAUAGCUGCGGUGGCCGCUGCAACAGCAGCCUCAGAAAGAGCGGCAUAACGCUCGUCAAAGGUCUCAAUCAGCGUGGUCUUUAUAGACCCAAACAUCUCCGGUAUCUCUGCCCUGAUGGCCGCAGCCACCUCCUCCUGAAUGAUCCGGCGGAUCUCCUCCUCACUGGUACCACUGCUCUCGGGCAUCAAACGUGUCCUCACCAUGAUCUACCUCUGAAAUACAACAUACGAUAAAUUAGAAACCCAUUCGAGCAUACUCGCACUCGACAACUCAUCCCUCCUUGAUCCCUGGCCUCCCGAAGAUUCUUACUUGGACUGUACACCGCCCCGGUGUUUUCAGUAGUACGGGCCCAAUACUACUGUCCGCACCGUAUCAGUAUACACCCCAAGUCCUCCUCUUCGGAUCCCAAAUUCCAAGUACUCUAUCAUGCAUAGACCACUCUNCUCUCCCUAGGCUAAGGCAUCACAAAUCAGGCCACUCUAGUGCUAAUAGGAGUAGCUAGCCCACUCUAGCAUGAGAAUACAUCAUAUCAAUAUCAUAACAUAUAAUAUAAGGGUAUCUUGGGAAAUCACCGUUCGGGCGCUGACUGAUCGUACACACGACUCUGCUCUGCGUUUUCCAAAAAUCUUUUACUCUUUUUGAAAAUAUUUCUCAAAUCCUCAGUUUGAGUUCAAAUACGCCCGAAGGUGUACUCGAAUCCCUCAAACCAAGGCUCUGAUACCAACUUGUAACACCGUAAAUUUCAAAACAAUUUUUCAUAUUUUAUACAAAACACAAUUCAUUCAAUUUUCAUAAAAAAACAUCAUUGUUUGAAAAUCAAAUUCAUAGCAUAUAAAAAUCCCAAGAUCUCAUAACAUUAAAAUCCCGUGUGUGUACUGAUCAGGCCGGCACCUUCCUGCGAUCCUCACUAGUACCUGAAACAAACAACACCAAACACUGUAAGCACAAAGCUUAGUGAGUUCCCCAAAAUACCACACAUAGCACAUAUUAGCCACUCGAGGCUAUAACUCUAUGGGUCCGUGGACCCUACUCUGUGAACCCUCUGGUUCUAACUCUGUGAACCUGCCGGUUCUAACUCUAUAAACAUGCACAUCAUAAAUCACAUAGAAAUAAUGCAAUACAACACAUAACAUAUAUAGCAUACUAAUACUCUAUCACAUAACUCUGGUUACCUACUCAAGGUAAAGUAUAGUGAGAAGACUCACCUCGCGUAUCUCGGUAACUCGUAAAUCCCUGAAAUCACUAGUGCUCGAUCACCCGAGCUAUAGUCCUCCUAUAACACAAUACAUCUCUAAUUAACACUUUCCCAACUAAGGUUGACUAACCCUAUCAAGUCAACACCGGUCAACUCUGGUCAAUGGUCAACGGUCAACCCAACUCGCCGAGUCUGGCGUGGACUCGCCGAGUCUCUACGGGGACCCGAUUCCUCUGAGUCCCUUCCGACUCACCGAGUCACUCACCCAACUCGGUUACUCAACCCCUGGUUUGAAAUCACUGAACAACCCGCACCAACUCGUCGAGUCUGCCAAUGGACUCGGUGAGUGCAUUCCAUGCACAACCCCAAACGACCUUCUGAGGUCAGAUCUGUUCCGCUAACUCAUAGAGCCAAUCCUUCCAAGCUUAUUUAUCACAUAAAGUUCAUGUCUUGGUGCUCAUAUCACACCUAAUGACUCAUAAAUGGUGUUUUAACCUCAAGCACAAAGAUCCCAAACCAAAACCUCCAUGGAUUCAUAAAAAGCUUGGACAAAGGGACACUCUGGACCUCCAAGGGUCCAGAUCCAGAACCUAACUCGCUUAAGGGACCAAGGGAGCACUAGAUCUAGCCACAAAAGGGCUCAAUAAGCCCUAAAUCAACAUGAACAUCACCUCAACAGAAAAGGGUUCGAAAAUAGUACCUCAAACGUGAUGUUCUGGACCUCAGAUCUUCAGGAAGUUAACCCUCUUGCUUCCUCUUGGCUAUAGCUUCCUUUCCCUUGCUAUACAACACCACCAAGGUCAACAACGGUUCCUUCUCUCACUCCAAACGCUCAAGCUCACUAGGGUUUCGCUCUGUGGACUGGUGAGCACAAAUGACGGCC